GACGAACGCUGGUGGCGUGCCUAAUACAUGCAAGUCGAGCGGACCAAUAGAAGCUUGCUUCUGUUGGUUAGCGGCGGACGGGUGAGUAACACGUGGGCAACCUGCCUGUAAGACUGGGAUAACUUCGGGAAACCGGAGCUAAUACCGGAUAAUUCAUCCCCUCGCAUGAGGGGAUGCUGAAAGUCGGUUUACGCUGACACUUACAGAUGGGCCCGCGGCGCAUUAGCUAGUUGGUGAGGUAAUGGCUCACCAAGGCGACGAUGCGUAGCCGACCUGAGAGGGUGAUCGGCCAAACUGGGAAUGAGACACGGCCCAGACUCCUACGGGAGGCAGCAGUAGGGAAUCUUCCACAAUGGACGAAAGUCUGAUGGAGCAACGCCGCGUGAGCGAUGAAGGCCUUCGGGUCGUAAAGCUCUGUUGUUAGGGAAGAACAAGUAUCGGAGUAACUGCCGGUACCUUGACGGUACCUAACCAGAAAGCCACGGCUAACUACGUGCCAGCAGCCGCCGCGG
rnacentral:rRNA from 1 species